rnacentral:rRNA from 1 species
UACGUAGGGACCGAGCGUUGUCCGGAUUCAUUGGGCGUAAAGAGCUCGUAGGCGGCUGCUCAAGUCGAAUGUGAAAACUCGAGGCUCAACCUCGAGCCUGCAUUCGAUACUGGGCGGCUAGAGUCUGGUAGGGGGAUCUGGAAUUCCUGGUGUAGCGGUGGAAUGCGCAGACAUCAGGAGGAACACCGGUGGCGAAGGCGGGAUCCUGGGCCAGUACUGACGCUGAGGAGCGAAAGCGUGGGGAGCAAACAGG